GCCAUCAGUUCAGCUGGAAGUGCUUGAAUCUGGUGCUUCUUACGACUUGUGAGUGACUGUUGCAGGGUUCAGAUUUGUCUCCUGCCUCUGCUGCAGACGUGUUCAUUCCGUCUCGGUCUGAGUGCUUCCUGCUGUUGUGAGUUUUGUGCCGAGCAGCUAUGGAAGACUUUUGGGGAGAUAUUGCGAGCCACAGAGUGGCCAGAGCAGCAUCGCUGGGUAACGAUGACGAGGCGGUGCUGGACCGGGGAAAAACCAGCUCCACCCUCUACACAAACUUUGAGAGGGAAGAACUGGAGAGUCACAGGGCGGUCUAUAUUGGCGUUCACGUCCCUUUGGGCCGUGAGACCCGCCGGCGGCAUCGUCACAAAGGACACAGACACCACCGGAGGCGGCAGGAUCGGUCAGACCGGGAGGACGGGCGAGAGUCUCCGUCUUACGACACGCCGUCUCAGAGGGUCCAGUUCAUCCUCGGGACGGAGGACGACGAUGAGGAGCACAUCCCCCAUGACCUGUUCACAGAGUUGGACGAGUUGGCUUUUAAGGACGGAGACUUUCAGGAGUGGAAGGAGACCGCCAGGUGGCUGAAGUUCGAGGAGGACGUGGAGGACGGAGGAGAGCGGUGGAGUAAACCCUACGUGGCCACGCUGUCGCUGCACAGCCUGUUUGAGCUGCGCUCCUGCAUCCUGAACGGCACCGUGCUGCUCGACAUGAAGGCCAGCAGCAUCGAGGAGAUCGCAGACAUGGUGAUUGACUCCAUGGUGUUGUCGGGGCAGCUGGAGGAGGAGGUUCGUGAGAAGGUGAAGGAGGCCAUGCUGCGUCGGCACCACCACCAGAACGAGAAGAAGCUGAGUAACCGCAUCCCGCUGGUCCGCUCCUUUGCUGACAUGGGCAAAAAGUACUCCGACCCCCACCUACUGGAGCGCAACGGUCUGCUGGCAUCACCUCAGUCUGCUCCAGGAAACCUGGACCACAGUAAACACAGCGAGACUCGAAUCAACGCCGGCAUCGGCAGCAGCCAGGAAAACAGCACCAUGGACUUCAGCAAGGUGGAUAUGAACUUCAUGAAGAAGAUUCCUCCUGGAGCUGAGACAUCCAAUGUACUGGUGGGAGAGGUUGACUUCUUGCAGCGACCAAUCAUUGCCUUUGUGCGACUUUCCCCUGCUGUGCUGCUGACCGGCCUCACGGAGGUCCCCGUACCCACAAGGUUCCUGUUCCUUCUUCUGGGUCCAUUUGGAAAAGGUCCACAGUACCAUGAGAUAGGACGCUCCAUCGCCACUCUGAUGACAGACGAGAUUUUCCAUGAUGUCGCUUACAAAGCGAAGGACAGGAAGGACUUGCUGUCCGGGAUUGACGAGUUCCUGGAUCAGGUGACAGUGCUACCUCCGGGGGAGUGGGACCCCAGCAUUCGCAUUGAGCCCCCCAAAAAUGUCCCGUCUCAGGAGAAGAGGAAGAUUCCGCCGAUCCCUAAUGGCACAACCAGUGGCACAGAUGGUACCAAGAAGGUGGCGCAUGACACUGGACCAGAGCUGCAGAGAACAGGGAGGAUAUUCGGCGGUUUGGUGAACGACGUGCGGCGGAAAUCUCCCUUCUAUUGGAGUGACAUCAGAGACUCCCUCACUCUUCAGUGUUUGGCAUCUGUCCUCUUCCUGUACUGCGCCUGCAUGUCGGCCGUCAUCACGUUCGGGGGACUACUGGGAGAAGCUACCAAGAACAACAUCAGCGCCAUAGAGUCUCUGUUCGGGGCGUCCAUGACGGGCGUGGCCUACUCCCUGUGUGCCGGUCAGCCGCUCACCAUUCUGGGCAGCACCGCCCCGGUUCUGGUUUUUGAGAAGAUCCUUUUCAAGUUCUGCAGUAACUACGGGCUGGCCUAUCUGCCCCUGCGGACCAGCAUUGGCCUAUGGACCACCUUUCUCUGCCUGGUUCUGGUGGCCACAGAUGCCAGUUCUCUCGUCUGCUACAUCACUCGCUUUACAGAGGAGGCCUUUGCUGUCGUCAUCUGCAUGAUCUUCAUUUAUGAAGCCCUGGAGAAGCUGGUCCACCUGUGGGAGGUCUACCCCAUCAACAUGCACAAUGACCUGGACAACCUCACCUUCUACAGGUGUCAAGUGUUCUCCACCAGCCAACUUCUCAACUGAAGCUCUCCACACGUUUAACGACAGCAACUUCAGUGCCAGAAACAUUUCGUGGGAGCAGCUGAGCGUGAAGGAGUGUCAGUGUUUCCACGGUGACUUUGUUGGCCCAGGCUGCGGCCACCACGGCCCUUUUAUCCCUGAUGUCCUCUUCUGGUCCGUCAUCCUCUUCUUCGCCACCUUCUUCAUCGCCUCCUCCCUCA